rnacentral:lncRNA from 7 species
AUGUACUCAGUUGUGGUGGACUCUUGUGGUUACUGUAAGUUGCCAUCUGGGAUCAAACUACUUGAACUGCGGCAGUGUUCUGUGUCUUCUCUCUGUUCCUGUGGGAUGGACAGCAGUGAACCUCAGGUGGAUACUGGGUGAGAACUGUGUGGCACUUGCACUUGGCCAUUGAGGAGUCCUGGGGCAGCAGAAGGAGCUGCACGGGGAUAGAGCUUUCUUUAUCUUCAUCCUCGCCUUUUAUCAAGAGGAGUACUUCUGUAAUGGGUUCUGACACUAUUUAUCAAAUCCAUAGCUCUUGCUAUGCUGCGUCCCGCAGAAAUGAAGAUGAAAAGAAAAAAGGAAUGGAAGAGGAGCAGACAGUAAGAGCUCACCUUCAAGCCAGGAAUCCACUCGGCAUAGGAGUGAAAUGGCUUCUUUUCUCUCCUGCAGAAUUGUCGUUCGAUGCAUAUCCUUUUCACUGUCUGAAGAGAAAACCUGGUGUCUGUUCCUCUCAAUUUUAAGGUUGAGGAAGCUGUAUAGAGGAUGAAAAGAGAUGUUUCAUCGCUCUAAGAGUUCAUUCUGAGGAUGACAGCUUCCAAGAUGUCUCAAAAAGAUAACACCAAACUCUUCUUGGGCUCACUGGGAGAGAAUUCUGACCUCUGAAGAAGUGAGUAAAGAAACAGAGAAUUGGGAAGAACUUUCUUUGUGUGGGGAAGAUUGUGAACUGCUGAUAGAAGACACUGUGCUUCAUUGAAGUGUAAAAGUUUUCAUUUGUUCCUGCUGAACUGAGAGCAGCCAAAGACCUGGUAAUCCUUCUCAAACAUGCAAGCUUUCCAGGUUCUUGGGCACGUAAAUUAGAGCUGUUGGUGUUCCAUCUCUUGCCUCUUUCCUUCUUUUCGCUUUACACCACCCCACAAUCAAAUUUAAGUCUGUGAAAACCAAUGACAAGGUAGGUGUAGAGAGGGAGAGCUUUAAUUAGAUGUUCAGUCAUCUCCACAGAGAUGAAGCCAAACACAUCUUUGGUAGCAGAAUAUUUCUGAAACAGUUUGUCUGUUUUCAAAUAACAAGCUUAAUGUAAUAAGGUUCUUAUGCAACACUAAACUUAAGGACGUGUUUUCACUGAAACACAAUGGAAUCUAAGCUAUCAGUAAGACACUUCAUUUUCAUUUAAGUAACAGCUAGUUUCGUUGGCAGAAGUAUUUCUGAAUUUUCUGCUCUUACUUAUUUAAGGUUGGUUUUGGCAUGAGAUAAAUGUAUCUUCUUGAGGCUGAUUAAAAGAAAGAAAAUAAAAAAAAAAGGCAUAGUGUAGGAG